rnacentral:rRNA from 1 species
AUUGAACGCUGGCGGCAGGCCUAACACAUGCAAGUCGAACGAGUGGCGGACGGGUGAGUAAUGUCUGGGAAACUGCCUGAUGGAGGGGGAUAACUACUGGAAACGGUUGCUAAUACCGCAUACCAUCAGAUGUGCCCAGAUGGGAUUAGCUAGUUGGUGGGGAAACGGCUCACCAAGGCAACGAUCCCUAGCUGGUCUGAGAGGAUGACCAGCCACCCUGGACCUGCGACACGGUCCAGACUCCAACGGGAGGCAGCAGUGGGAAAUAUGGCACAAUGGGCGCAAGCCUGAUGCAGCCAUGCCGGGUUUAUGAAGAAGGCCUUCGGGUUGUAAAGUACUUUCAGCGGGGAGGCGUUACCCGCAGAAGAAGCACCGGCUAACUCCGUGCCAGCAGCCGCGGUAAUU